rnacentral:lncRNA from 1 species
UAGAACAGAGAAAGAACAUUAAGUAAAAACCAAGGAAACCAGAGUAAGAUAUUAACAUCUGGAAGCUGAAGCUCGUAGAAGGGAAAUAAUGAAAAUAUUUAACACUGAGUUGAGUGUUUAUACUAUGCCAAGCACUGAUCUUGGUUGUUAGUUAUGUGAACUCAUUCAGUACUCACAGCAACACUAGAAGGAAGGUAAAGAUAUUACCCAGUGAGGACAUGGAGCAAUGAGAGGUCUCAUAGCCUAGUCAAGAUCUCACAAGAACAGGAGAAGCAGUAGAAAAGUGGGGAUGCAAACCCAGCAAGACCAGAGACAGAGCACAUGGGCUUGUCCUCUGUGAUCAUCUGCC